rnacentral:rRNA from 1 species
GCUUGUCUCAAAGAUUAAGCCAUGCAUGUCUCAGCAUAAGCUUCAACACGGUGAAACUGCAAAUGGCUCAUUAAAGCAGUUACAAUUUAUUUGAUGGUCACUGUUACAUGGAUAACCGUGGUAAUUCUAGAGCUAAUACAUGCUAUAUGCCCGGCUUCUGGCAGGGCUGUAUUUAUUAGAUACUAAACCAGUGUCGCAAGACAUUGUGGUGAAUCACAGUAACUGAUCGAAUCGGCGCGCAAGCGGCGAUAAAUCAUUCAAGUUUCUGCCCUAUCAGCUUUCGAUGGUAGUGUAUUGGACUACCAUGGCAGUCACGGGUAACGGAGAAUUAGGGUUCGGUUCCGGAGAGGGAGCCUGAGAAACGGCUACCACAUCUAAGGAAGGCAGCAGG